rnacentral:lncRNA from 1 species
CUACCCAUUGUCUAGAUUCUACUCUAGACCUUUUUUCCCCCCUCCUCAUUCUCUCUCUCUUUCUCUUGUUUUCUGCUUAUAGUUGCUAUCUAUGAGCAUCCAUUUGUAUUCAUGGAGAUUUAUUGGGAUUGACAAAGUCAUAUUUCUCAUAAAAGCAUAUCUACAAUUAAUGACUUAUUCUGGUCCCUUACAAUUUAGAUAAGAAAAUUAUUCAACAGAGUUAUGCUAAAUCCUGCUGUUCAGAGAGCAAGCAUGAAUAAAUUAAUCAUCAGAAAAUUUAAAUUUGGGCUCCCAUUCUGAAAAUUACUCACCAUGGGAUUUUGGGGGUAAAUCCUUUGAUCUCUUUGGAAAUUGGUUUCUAAAUCUCUAAAAUGGGAAUAAUAAUGCCUGUUCCAUCUCAGUGAUAUUCAAAUAAUGAUGCACAUGCAAAUCCAUGAAACAAGUAUAGAGUUACUCAAGGCUUCUGAAACUUAGUCAUUAUCCCAUAGCAAAUGAAUCAUCAAUUUCCAAAUUCUGACCAUAUCUUUCCUCAUAUCUUAUUUCAUUCCAUUUCUUCCCAUCUCUGCUACUACAAUUAUACCAGUUCUUUAUUUUAGGGCCUCAUCCUAUAUUAUUUGCAUCAUUACACUGUUUAAUCCAUACUAUUCCACCUAUGGAAUUUUCCCUCCUAGCACGUUACCCUGCCUGUAGCUUCUUCUGAAUUCUUCAGUAAGCCUAUGCACAACAUAGGAUGUUGACUUAUUCAGCAUCCAUUUCUAUUUCUGCCUGCUUCUAACCUCCAUUCUGCCUGCAUCUACCUCACUUGCUGCCAGCAUACGUACAAUAAAAAUUAAGUUCACAUCGCAGACAUGUACUGGGCAGGUGUCCGGAUAGCUUUUGCUUUCCUCAGGGAGGGAAGAGUUAGUGGGCUAGUUUCUGCUACCAUUUUUCCUCUUCCUGAUUAUUCCUCUGUUGAGCAAAUACUCAGAGCAUCCAUAGACUUCUUUAAGUCAUAGGAAAACCAAGAGGAAUCGAAAGCAUGGCAUCUAAUACAGAUAAAUUGUUGAGUCAAUGCCUGCUGGCCUGCUAUGUCUGGAUUUUUUGAUAGGUUAAAAACAACAGAUCAUGAAUUGUUGAAGUUGGAUAUUUGAUUGUUCCUUCUGAUUUUAUUCAUUCAUUUAUUUAUUUAUUUAUUUAUUUAUUUACUUACUUAUUGUCUUUUUGCCAUUUCUUGGGCCGCUCCUGCAGCAUAUGGAGGUUCCCAGGCUAGGGGUCUAAUUGGAGCUGUAGCUGCCGGCCUACGCCAGAGCCAUAGCAACUUGGGAUCCGAGCCGCAUCUGCGACCUACACCACAGUUCACAGCAACGCUGGAUCCUUGACCCACUGAGCAGGGCCAGGGACGAACCCACAACCUCAUGGUUCCUAGUUGGAUUCCUUAACCACUGCGCCACGAUGGGAACUCCUGUUCCUUCUCAUUUUAAUUGAUAAUAUUCUCUAUUGCCUCCAGGAUAAAAUUCAAAUAUUUUUGUUUGAUAUGCAAAAUCUUUUAUGUUUCCUGUGAAACUUUUCCAGCUUCCUAAGCUACAUCAUCUAUGCUAAAAUCCUUACAUUAAUACAGGUUCUUGAACAUACUUGUGCCUUCAAAAGUGCUGGGGUUUUUUGGGCAAUUUUGUUUUACUUUGGAAGAAUGUCUCUUUUUCCCCAGUUUUUCCUCAGGUGCCAAUUAUCCACCAUCAAGAUUUUGGUCAGAUAUUUUAUUCUUUAAGAACAGUUGCAUGUAGACACCUUAUAUGAGGGUACUCUCAUGAGAUAAACCUGAAAGGAAAUGAGAAAAGCAAAACUGAAUGGAAAGAGAAACUGUCCCUCAACCAAUCAGACAUGUUAUAAAUCUGAAAUGUUCUUCAAAGUUGUACCGAAUGGAGGCCAGGAGACCAGACUCUGGGUCCCACAUAACCUUGGGUAAAAGAGUUCUAUGUAUCUGAGGGAAAUUCUCUAUGAUGGAGGCAAUUGUAAAGGAUGCUUCAGCUGCUGCCUAUCCUCGUAGGUAGGAAUUGAGUGUGUUGAAAUUGAGGGCAUCCGGAUGGAGCAGGAAAGUAUCCAUGACUUUGUUUCUCUGCGCUCCCAUUGGCAGUGCUGUGCACUGUUCAGUGUAAACGUUUAUGUGUUGGUUUUCCUUCACUAGAUUGUGAGCUCCUUGAAAGGAGUCAUUUCUCACACUUUGUUACACACUUUGAUCCCAAAACAAAGCCAGGUGUGAGGAAGGCACACUUACUGAAUAAAAAUAUUAUCUAGAAAAGUACACAGGAUUACAAUUUUGUGGAAGAAAUUUUAAUAUUUUAGAGGUGAACGAAGAGGAAUUAAUAGUAACAAUGAAUGCAGAGGAAUUAUUUCUCAAUAUUCUAAUCUGAAAUAAAUGUCAUGUUCAAUAGAAAAAAAUUCGUGGUAGUACAGAUGUCUUUCAUGAGUACUUCACCUAUAUGGUUUAAAGAGAUGUAUUAAUACUUUAUUACAUAGCAGCUAGUUAAAUUUUUAGUGAAGCUAUCAUGUCACCUAUCUGUAAGAGCAACCAUCUUAAACUGAAUUAAGCAGUGGUAAUAAUGCUCUACAACUUACCUUCUCUGUUUGGAAAAUCAAAACAACUUUAACAGAAAAGAAAAUAAUAAAUAAAAAUUCUUAAUACAUUUAUUAAGUUAAUUUGUUUUGACUUAAUUGGCAUACUCUUUGCUGUUGUCUGCAAUUACCAAAUUAUCUGACAAUACAUUGAACAGCAAAAAAUGGUUUAUUCUAUUCAUUAAGAGUCACACCGGGACUGUGGAGAAGCUCAAUAUUAUCACACUCUCAAGUGUCUUCUAUCCUCUACCUUGCCAAUCUUAGCAAUUAUUUUAUUGCCUCAUGCUGCUACAACUCCCCAUAUCAUGUCCAUACAUAAGGAUGGAAGAAGGGAGACAGGGGGUGGUCAUAGAUUUCUCUUCCUCUUUUAUGAGACAGAUGAAGUUUUUCCUCCAGCUCCCCAACAUACUUCAGCUAUAACUCCUGCCAGGCUUCUAUUUACAUCUCACUGGCUGGUCCUAGACAUAAGGGAGACUGACAAGAUGAGUAGUGCUUUUUUUCUAGCAUCUAUAUUAUGAGGUAACUAAUAUGGAGGAGAGGUUGGUGAUGGGUAUUUGCCUACUCAACAAGGAGGAUCUACUAUACUUGAAGAACUGCUAUUUGCAUGACUCCAAUGAUGAGUUUUUCUAAGAGCAUUGGAAACAAAAGAUGGAUUAGAAAAGACCAAGAGCGCCUAGGAAGCUGAAAUAAUUUUGUUUUUAUCUUUGUAUUCCCACUGCCUCUCACUGUGCCUUGCAUUUAGGAGACAAUAAAUGCUUGAAUUAUCAGUAAUCAUAUCAUUCUUCUAAAUGUUCACUGGAGGGGUAUGUGUUACUGAUGACUUUUAUAUUUUAUAUGAGAGCCUAGAUGCAAGUAUAAAAUCACUUCAACUGUACAAGUAGAGAUUAAAUUUAAUGCUCCAAAGAGAAACUCAGCACAUGUUUAAGAAAGUCGAUAUUUAGAAAUUGAAUUUUAAAAAAGAAUGAAAUAAAUGUUGAAGACUAGUAAUCUGCUUUGUGAAUGUCAUAGUAUUUGUUAAAAUUCCACAUACGUAUUUCAGUAGUGGAGUGACAGUUCACCAAAUGAAUUAGAGCACCAUAUAAUUAUCCUUAAGUAAUGCAAACGAAGAUCCCAUAUGACUAGUGAUAGUGGCAUAUAAUGAUAGUGUCAUCUCUCCAUUUAGGGUACAACAUGCCAUCAGAGAAGAUGAGAUGAAUCCUAAAUGGGUGAGUAAUGCCCCAUAUUACAAACUUAACAAAUUAUGACAUCAGGCUGAUACCCAAUCCAUCUGUUAGCUUGCAGGACAGAGGACAUAUUGUUACGGUGAUUAGGCCAGGUGGUACCUCAUUUGAUAUCACAGCUGUGCUAAACUUCCACUCAGAAACCUAAAACCAUGUGAAACAGCCCUUGUUUGGGGUCACACUGAAAAGAAAGAGCAGCAGCUGGGGUAUAUUCUUAACAAAUUCUGUGCAGAGAUUCUUUAGCUGAAAUUAAAAAUAAAAAUGUUUGCAAUAUGUUAUGAGGAAUGAAGAUUUAAAGUCUAGAUUCUGCUAUUUGCUUCCGGAUUAUUAUAUGGUAUAAUUUUUGAAUUUCUGAUCAAUUCAUUCAGUCAUGCAAAGCCAAAGGCGGUUAUGGCAUAUGUAGAAUCUGUUAUUCGACAAAUAGUGAAAUGAUUCAGAUAAAGAACGGAUUUGAGUUAUGGGACAGAGUAUGCUCUUAAUAAAUGUUAGUUUUUAAUUUUAUUCUUAAAUGUUGUUAAUAUCUAGUUUCUGAGUCUCCUGUCCAAAGUCUGUCUUACCUUUAGUUAUUUAAUCCAGCCUUUCUGAAAAUAGUUCUGUCAAACAUAUUCAUAUGUGUGUGACUAUAUAUGUACAUAUAAAAUGAAGAAACCUCUCCAGUUAGAUGUUGUCUUCUGAUUUGGAGGGAGAAUGAUACUACCAUUGCUUUGAUAAGGUGGAUCACAGAUUAAUGGCCAUCAUAGUUUAUCCAAAAAUUGCCUUUGUGUGAAUUUUUAAUGAUGUGCCCUGCACCGAUAUGGAGCCCUGUGGGUUUCAGUCUUGAGGAGGGAAGUCGUGGCUGAAUUUUCAGCAUUCUCUCAUCUUCCUGGACGAAAGCCUUAGACAAAGCCCAGCCUGUGUUACCUUACCCAGUGCUCCUUAUUAGUGCAAUAAACUGCCUGCCUGAAUCAAAUGCCAAAACAUGAAAGCCAGAAAUCAGUGGUAAUUUUCUCAUAGUAAAAUUUACUCAUGUUUAGUAAGGGAUAUGCAGGAUUAAAAGUGCCAGAUUGACAGAAAAUUUGUUUCACCUGUUUAUUUACAUAGAUAUGUUAAUUGUGAAGGGAUUCAGCGGCCUCUUCCACUUGAGGUCUAUAUCCUGAAAUUGCUCUGGCCUACAAAUUCAAUCAUAUCAUAUUUAGCAAAGGACAUCUUUAUUAAAUUAUUUUAGAAAUGAGAAAGAAAAGGGCCAGAUGACUCACAAAGCAGUAUGGGCCUCCUUCAUAAUUUAUGUUAGAAGACUUUCUUUGUACUAUUUACAAGUAAUCCUAAAGAUCUAAAACAUAUAGUAAAUUAUACUUUUGCUGUGACUUCGGGACUGGUGGUUGAGACCAGUCAAGCAUCCGUGUUGCCACACAGUUCUUUUUUAUAUUACUCGUCCAUAUGUGGAAUAAUUCUCAUAAGAUGUUGAAAACAAAAACAAGAGCUUUCUCUCUCUCUCUGUGUGUGUGUGUGUGUGUGUGUGUGUUGGGGAGAGGUGGGGAGGAAGAGGGAGAGUUGAGAUAGUUCCAGUAAAAAGUGAAUCUAAAAUGUUAGCAAUUUAAGAAAUGAGUACUUAAUAAUGUGAUAUUUCUUAAUCUUUAGAAAAAGUAACCAAAAUGUUAAAUAAGGCAUAAGGAUGACUGUAUGUCUUUCAAUGUCAUAGGAACACAAUGUCUAACAGAACUUUCCAAUGAUUAUUUUAUUCCUAAGGAGAUUGUGCCUUAGUUUGUUGUUCUCUUGAUGAGAAGCUAGAUUUUAUUAUAUUUUAUGCUGACUUAUUGGUUUUGUCCAUACUUACCAUGGAUAGAAAUAGAUACUAGUGUUUACUGUUGUAUUGCCCUGUAAGGCAUUAACCUAUUUAUCUUUAACUUAGCAAACUUAUUUUAAUGUGACACCCCUCCUCAUUCAUUAUAUAUAUCUGUGUCUCAAAUACACAUUGAACUGGCUUUACCAUUGUGCAGUUCCCUCAUUAAUGAGUUGACAAAGACUUUGGCAUAUAUUUAUUCUCUAUUUGAAUGAAAGUCACAUUUUAAACUUCUCCAAAAAUAUGCUUUGAGAAUAAAAUUCUCCUUAUGGAAAAAAAAUGAAAACAUCUUCCUCUGCAUGAGUCUUUAUAUUGAUGUUAAACAUAAUAGUAAUAAAUUUCAUAUAUUACAUUAUCAAUGCUUAACUUUAAAAUAGUGAAUUACUAGCAUUUUGUUAAACAGUGCUUAAAUUCAUUAUUAUUUCAGACAUAUAAAAUAUGCAAAUUCUUAACAUCUAAGUCUUUCCAUUUUUUUUUCUCCACUGGAUUAGGUGUUGGUAUGAUAGCUUCCCAAUGUAUUUUGUAGGAAGAAUUAAUUCAGAAUAAAUAAAAUUUCACUAAUGAAGGUAAAUAUAUAGACUUUAUUCUCCAAACCAGGAAAAUUAAGAGAGUAUUGCUCACUAGCAAGAAGCUGAAGAAAUUUUAUUGUAAAAUUUAUGAAGUAACAUUUUCUAACUUGAUUUGAAUGUUAAAUCCCAAAGAAAUAUAGCAUGUAUUUUGCUAUGACUACAAGUGAUAUUUUUUUAAAUGAAGUUCUGAAAUGUCAUCUGUACUUUUUAAAUUCUCACGAAUAGUUUUUGAAAUCCUGUUCCAGUAUAUU